rnacentral:lncRNA from 1 species
UUCAAAACGAUCCAUAAAGAUACGGUCGAUCUAACGAUUAAGAUGUAUGUGGACAUGCGCUUGAUGAGCGGACGUGAUUAAAUAUUCUUACAUUAGGUUAUGCAUAUAUAUAUAUAUAACAUACGGGAGUUCUGGUCUAUCUCUAAUCCUAAUUUUCUGUGAUGGCUUCAUCUCCGGAGAUAAAGGGAAUAGACUCGAAACAUCUCGCU